AUUGAACGCUGGCGGCAUGCCUUACACAUGCAAGUCGAACGGCAGCACGGGUGCUUGCACCUGGUGGCGAGUGGCGAACGGGUGAGUAAUACAUCGGAACGUACCUUAUCGUGGGGGAUAACGCAGCGAAAGCUGUGCCAAUACCGCAUACGCCCUGAGGGGGAAAGCGGGGGAUCGCAAGACCUCGCGCGAUUAGAGCGGCCGAUGCCUGAUUAGCUUGUUGGUGGGGUAAAAGCCCACCAAGGCGACGAUCAGUAGCUGGUCUGAGAGGACGAUCAGCCACACUGGGACUGAGACACGGCCCAGACUCCUACGGGAGGCAGCAGUGGGGAAUUUUGGACAAUGGGGGCAACCCUGAUCCAGCAAUGCCGCGUGAGUGAAGAAGGCCUUCGGGUUAUAAAGCUCUUUUGUCAGGGAAGAAACACCGGCUCUAACACAGUCUGGGAAUGACGGUACCUGAAGAAUAAGCACCGGCUAACUACGUGCCAGCAGCCGCCGUAA
rnacentral:rRNA from 1 species